GUCCCUUCGGGGACAUCUGAUAAAAUUGAAACGAUACAGAGAAGAUUAGCAUGGCCCCUGCGUAAGGGUGACACGCACAAAUCGAGAAAUGGUUCAACUUUUU
rnacentral:snRNA from 2 species